UUCUGUGUAGAGCUUUAGGUUCUCUGUCUGCUAAGUGGGGAUAAUGUGCCACAUGAUGUUAAUAAGGUCCAAAUGAGUGGGUAUCUGUAAGGACUUGGAACACACUCCGGCAGAGGAAUCAGCACUAACGUUAGCUGUCAUUAUAAUUACAUCCAGAUGCUAUCAAUCUAGGCUGUAAAAGAAGCAGACUUCAUACUGAGGUCCAGUGCAGGCGGCAGAGAGAGGCUGGGGUUUGGGAAGGAAGGAGCUAGGGAAAGGAUCCUACCCCAGACUUCUUCAGUCUUCUUGAGAGAGCUCAGUGCAAGUUUGCCAUGGUCCAGAACUGGCUGGCUGGGCACAGCUCUGAAAACUAUGACUCUAACCGUGGAAAGAGUGUUUCUGUAACCCCCAUGCCUUACAAGUCUAGUCUUGACAAGCUGGAGUAGCCAGAGCCCAGGAAAUGUUGGAAAACAGAUUUUGGAGGCACAGAGCCAGCUCCAAGAAUGUGCUGGGAACCUCCAUUACCGUGGAAACCCAUGUUUCAACAGCUCUCCAAGGAAGAAAAUGCUAUUCCAGCCUGGAAGGACUGGACCUCUGGGGUCUCCUGCGUGAGCACCAGAGCCUGCAUUUCAAAUCAGCCACAAGAAUGGGCCUAGACAUUCAGGCAAUGAGACUUCCUAAGCCAGCUGCUGAGGGACAAGAGGAGGCAUCCGUCAGAGACCCUCAGAGGAUGCCCCACACGCUCAUCUGCAUGAAGGAGACAGGAGACUCAGAGACAUACAGCAUCUGCAUUUUAAUUGCUAUUUGCUGAAGUCCACCCCUGGCUGUAAGGAAUGCUCCCCAUUCCCAUAGGACUUUACAUUGUGCAAAUCAGCAGGAACUGGCAGUGGCGCCCUGUGAAAGGGCCACCUCAGAACCCGAGGAAGCACAGGGCCGCAAGCAGGGGAUGGAAACUCUGGAGGGUCACAUUCUCUGGGAAGACCACACACAGUCCAACACCGCGCUCAGGGGGCAGACCAACCGCCUCGCCAUCUGAUCCCCGCCUCGCAAAGGACCAGUGUGGUCGAGAGGAUAAAAAUCAGCACUCAAAGAGAAGGGGAACGAGGAAUAGCUGUUGCCCCUGGGCCGUGCAAGUCCCUAAGCACAAACCUGUUUCUAACAGUCAGUAAAAUUCCAGGCAGUGGUGGUGCACGCCUUUAAUCCCAGCACUCGGGAGGCCUGAAGCAGGUAGCGGCUGGCUCAGAGGUCAAUAUCAAUGAACCCACUCAUUCCUGGCCACUAUCACCUCCUCGGACCUCAUUACUCAUAUGACCCUCGGAACUACCUUCUGUGGAUGAAAAACAAUCCCUGAUGCCACCUCCUGCCACACCCAGCUUGCUCCCCACUCAAUUCUUGUCCUGAAACCUCUGCAGUAGCCACUUCCUAUGAUUUCUCCACCUCCUGUCUUCCGUCCUACAACCUGCAGCCCGUAAGGCCACAGGACUCAUCAUCUCACCCUUCAGCUAAGAGAUUUUAGUCACAGCAGCACCCGGCUAAGGUGAGAUCCAGAAUGUCUUUCAGGCUCAAUCCCCAAUCAAUGGGCUUCUAAUACAAAGAACUCUCGGGUUCCCAUCCUCUAUGGCCAGGGACCCACACCCUUAUCCUGCCCCGCCUUAUGCUCCUUACAGCUCUACAAGCUGAAGCCACGUGCUGAACCUGCUAACUUGCUGGGAUCAGCUCUGAACUUGUCAGGAGACGGAGAUCAUGAAAGGGUAUUGAAAGACCAAAAGAUAGCAGCGAUCGUUAACACUAUGUAGGCGCAGUAUAGCGGUAAGUUCCCUGAGGAGAUAGCUACCUCGCUGCAUUCUUUCCCGCCUUCCGGUUCCGGGUGGGUACGUGACCCUGCUCACAAUCUGCCUUCCCGCCUUCCCUGUUCUGGGUACGUGACUUAACUACGGCUUUGUUCAAACCACCCAAUCAGAACCCUGUAACUGCUUCUCGCUUCUGUAACCGCGCCUCCUGCUCCCGAGCCCUAUAAAAACCCGUCACCCUAACCGAGAGGCGCGCAAGUCCUCCGAUAGGCUUGGUCGCCCCGGGUACCCGUGUAUCAAAAUAAACCUCUUGCGGUUUGCAUCCGAAGGCUGGUCUCGCUGUUCCUUGGGAAGCGGGGUCUCCCCGUCUAGAUAGGCUCCAGGGAG